rnacentral:rRNA from 1 species
UACAGAGGGUGCAAGCGUUAAUCGGAAUUACUGGGCGUAAAGCGUGCGUAGACGGUUAUGUAAGUCAGGUGUGAAAGCCCCGGGCUCAACCUGGGAAUUGCAUUUGAGACUGCAUAGCUAGGGUGCGGAAGAGGGAAGCGGAAUUUCCGGUGUAGCGGUGAAAUGCGUAGAUAUCGGAAGGAACACCAGUGGCGAAAGCGGCUUCCUGGACCGACACUGACGCUGAGACGCGAAAGCGUGGGGAGCAAACAGG